CGGCGGCCGUAACUAUAACGGUCCUAAGGUAGCGAAAUUCCUUGUCGGGUAAGUUCCGACCCGCACGAAAGGCGUAACGAUUUGGGCACUGUCUCAACAAUAGACUCGGUGAAAUUGUAAUCCCGGUGAAGAUGCCGGGUACCUGCGACAGGACGGAAAGACCCCAUGGAGCUUUACUGUAGCUUGACGUUGGGUCUUGGUACUACAUGUACAGGAUAGGUGGGAGACUAUGAAGCAUGGACGCCAGUCUGUGUGGAGUCAUCCUUGGGAUACCACCCUUGUAGUACUGGGAUCCUAACCAUAGGCCUUGAAUCAGGUCUUGGAACACCGUCAGGUGGGCAGUUUGACUGGGGCGGUCGCCUCCUAAAAAGUAACGGAGGCGCUCAAAGGUUUCCUCAGCACGGUCGGAAAUCGUGCGAAGAGUGUAAAGGCAAAAGGAAGCUUGAUUGCAAGACAUACAGGUCGAGCAAGGACGAAAGUCGGACUUAGUGAUCCGGUGGUACCGCAUGGAAGGGCCAUCGCUCAACGGAUAAAAGCUACCCUGGGGAUAACAGGCUUAUCUCCCCCAAGAGUCCACAUCGACGGGGAGGUUUGGCACCUCGAUGUCGGCUCAUCACAUCCUGGGGCUGUAGUAGGUCCCAAGGGUUGGGCUGUUCGCCCAUUAAAGUGGUACGCGAGCUGGGUUCAGAACGUCGUGAGACAGUUCGGUCCCUAUCCGUCGCAGGCGUAGGAAAUUUGAGAAGACCUGUCCUUAGUACGAGAGGACCGGGAUGGACGUACCUCUGGUGUACCAGUUGUUCUGCCAAGGGCAUGGCUGGGUAGCUAUGUACGGAAUGGAUAAGCGCUGAAAGCAUCUAAGCGCGAAGCCAACUUCAAGAUAAGAUUUCCCACCGUAAGGGUAAGACCCCAGGAAGACUACCUGGUUGAUAGGUCGAAGGUGUAAGUGCAGUAAUGUAUUUAGCUUAUCGAUACUAAUAGGUCGAGGACUUGACCAA
rnacentral:rRNA from 1 species